UUUUGUUUUUGGUAUUAUAUACUCCCUCAGUCCCUGUAUAUAUGGUAUGUGUCUUAAUUUUCCCACAAUGUGAUAUCGUAAAAUGUGUUAUUAAUGUCUCUUGUGAUGCAGAUUGAAUGCCUAGUAGAUCACAUAUGCAACGUGACAAUAAUGUCACUAGACACAUGAGUUUGCUCUGCAUGCAUGUCUCUCGCUACCAUAUAUAUAAAUAUUUAUAUUUGCUUCCUGAGGCUGCUGAGCAUGCAUGGCAAGGUUAUUGCCUUAAGAAAGCAUUGCAUAUUCUUUAUAAUAUAUAUGGCUCCUGUGUGGGAUUCUAGUUAGUGCAAGUUUGUUGGAGUGCUUAGUGGAAUGGACAUUAUUCAAAUACUGAAAGAGAUUUACUAAGGAGGUGAGGUUCAACAACUAGGGUUAUGAGAUAAAGACUUAUAUGUCUUACACAAACAUUGAUGCAUUGAAGCUCAAUUUCCGAGUCAAGAGUAUCUUGUUAAGGGGUCAAAAGAGUAUUAAUUUGAGGACUAAAGUCGAACAAAAUUCAGCGCACCACAUUCAGAGUUACUUGAAAACUUUUUUUUUUUUUUUUAAGAACAAGUUACUUGAAAACUUAAGCUAUAUAAUUUAUAAAAUAUGCAAUAUCAAAGAGUGUUCACGAAGUUUCUCAAGCAAAUACUUGAGUCCUAUAAUAUAUACAUAUCUGUGUGUGAUUGUGC